GUGUCCCUGUAUCUCCUUUCUUAUUCCGUACGCGCGAGAGAGAGAAUGCUUUUCCUUUUGGGGGUGUUGUUAGUGUUUAUCUUUGUCCUUCCAUAAACAAAAGAUUUGAUCGUGGUGGGUGUGCUCCUUUCGAUUUAUCUUUGUCUUCCAUGCACAGAUGUUUAUCUUUGUCCUCCAUGGACCAUGCACAGAUGUUUAUCUUUGUCCUCGCGAAAGAUUUGAUCGCGGGUGGGUGCCGCUCUUUCUUGUUUAUGUUUAUGAGUUUGUUCUCACAAGAAAAUUGAGCGGUCGGGCUGGAGCAGCAGCGUUACCUUCAGGGAGAUAAGACGAGACCGAAUCAUGAAGUGGAGGAGAAAAGGAAUUAUUCGACGGCGAUGGUGAUGAUGUUGAGCAGAAAGGUGCCAGGUCGGCGUGAAAACCACUCUUUUCGUCCCUGAUCAAGGCUUGGAUUUUGGACUGCAUCUGUCUAAGGUGGCAGCGGAAGCGGCGGUUCUAAAACAUGUUUGCAUCACCAAUAAACACAAACCUCUCGAGAAGCUUGAUCCUGACUGUCUCAUCCUUUGGUGGGUUCACCAUUCCAAUGUAACAUUGUUGAAGAUCGAUUCCAGUAUGAGAAUCUGCGCGGGCUUUGGACAAUUGGACUCCAUCUGGACCUAAUAGGCCCCGUUGUUAUUUCUGCAAUCGCCACCUGCUGCCGUGCUCUCCAUUCACCCAUCGCCCCCCUGUUUCGGGCGUUGGUCCAACACCAGAGAGAGAGAGAGAGAGAGAGGUCAUCGAUUUUUCGAUCUUCUCCUUCUGGCAAGCUUUCUCUUGAUCUGUUGCCUCUUCCCCUUGUAAUGUUGCUAGUUCCGAAUCUACACGGUAAU